rnacentral:rRNA from 1 species
UACGAAGGGGGCUAGCGUUGUUCGGAAUUACUGGGCGUAAAGCGCACGUAGGCGGGUCGUUAAGUCAGGGGUGAAAUCCCGGAGCUCAACUCCGGAACUGCCUUUGAUACUGGCGAUCUUGAGAUCGGAAGAGGUGAGUGGAAUCCCCAGUGUAGAGGUGAAAUUCGUAGAUAUUCGGUGGAACACCAGUGGCGAAGGCGACUCGCUGGACUGAUACUGACGCUGAGGUGCGAAAGCGUGGGGAGCAAACAGG